UCAAUGCCAAAACAGUGUUCUACUAUUAAAAAAUAGAGGGGCUGAAAGGUCAAACUGAGUCUCUUAUUCUGCAUUUAUAGGAAUGAAAAAUUCCAAUUUAUAACCCUAUUGCUCACAGUGGCAACCCACCUGUUGAAAGGCAAACAUUCAACAUUGAACCCUCAGCCAAGAAGGGAAUCAGCAGUUCCUUCUGCAUUGUUCAUUUUUCUGUGACAGCUUCACCUUCUUCGACAAGCAAUGCCACUUUAGUUAAACGUGGUUUCAGAAACUGAAUUUUUCCCCCCUAGCUGAC
rnacentral:lncRNA from 1 species